CAGAAGUACAGUUACGUUUUCAUUGCCCACCGACCAGAAGGAUGGAGGCAUGUCCAUGUUUAUCAAUGGAGCCUCAGAGGAGGCGGUUCAUGGCUGGUUCAUGGGGCUGAAACAAUGUGAUGACCAACAUCAUGUUUCUCAACGAGGUACAACUCAUCAUAACAAGCCCCCACCCUGGCGCGCACCCCUUCGAGAAAACCAGCAGAAGAAGGAGGGAGGAGGGCAGAGGGGACUCUUGAAGAAGAGUCUGCAAAGAUAGAAAAAAAAGAGAGACAGCGAGGGGAGCGAGAAGAAGAAGAAGAGGGGAGGUGGACAGCGCUGUUCCAGCUAUCCAAAGGGCUGACAUCGAGGAGAGGAAAGUAACCACCAGGAAAAAAAAAAAAAAGAAACUUUUGCAGUCUCGCCACUGAGAUGAUGAUCAGGGAGGGGAGGCUGGAUGUUCGAAGGGGAACGACAGCUCUAAAAUUGGACGGCAGGGCAGAUGAGGGAGCCUCGCUCUGGAUGAUCGCUCCACCGUGCCCCACCACAGCCCAAGGAUGAGGAGGUCAGGCUCUCAGCUCAACGGCCGGGGCUGUCGGAACGCCUCCCUGAGGAGUCCCCCUCCAGCACGCUCUUCCUGAUGCUUUAUAAGAGUGGUGUGAGAUUUAAGCUGCAGACCUUUGCCGGGAAAAUGGUAAACACCGUCUACAGGGACGAGGAAAGUGGCAUCCAAGACCGGGAGGGCAAGGAGGAAUCCAUCUUGGCCCUUCUGGGCAUCGUGGGCACCAUCCUCAACUUGGCGGUCAUCAUCUUCGUCUACCUGUACACUACGCUGUAGAUCUCCCGGUCCACACCCCUGGACCCCACUAUUAAUUAAAGCCCCCCUCCCAUGGUUUUCAUCUCUUCAGACUCUUCUUUUGUCAGUAUCUUUUACGGCACUGGCUCUCAGAAUGACCCUGGGACCAGCGCCUGAGAUGUUGGGCUUCCCCCGCGG
ensembl:lncRNA